rnacentral:rRNA from 1 species
AUGAUGCUCAUGGGCAACUUAUCUCUUAUUGGAUUUCCUUUUCUAACAGGAUUUUAUUCUAAAGAUGUGAUCUUAGAGCUCGCUUACACAAAGUAUACCAUCCGUGGGAACUUUGCUUUCUUGGGAAGUGUGUCUGUCCUUUUCACUUCUUAUUACUCCUUUCGUUUACUAUUUCUAACAUUUCUAGUACCAACCAAUUCAUUCGGGCGAGACAUAUUACGAUGUCAUGAUGCACCCAUUCCUAUGGCCAUUCCUUUAAUACUUUUGGCUCUCGGGAGUCUAUUUGUAGGAUACUUGGCCAAAGUGUGA